AGUGAACGCUGGCGGUAGGCCUAACACAUGCAGGUCGAACGGCAGCACAGUAAGAGCUUGCUCUUACGGGUGGCGAGUGGCGGACGGGUGAGGAAUACAUCGGAAUCUACUUUUUCGUGGGGGAUAACGUAGGGAAACUUACGCUAAUACCGCAUACGACCUACGGGUGAAAGCAGGGGAUCUUCGGACCUUGCGCGAUUGAAUGAGCCGAUGUCGGAUUAGCUAGUUGGCGGGGUAAAGGCCCACCAAGGCGACGAUCCGUAGCUGGUCUGAGAGGAUGAUCAGCCACACUGGAACUGAGACACGGUCCAGACUCCUACGGGAGGCAGCAGUGGGGAAUAUUGGACAAUGGGCGCAAGCCUGAUCCAGCCAUACCGCGUGGGUGAAGAAGGCCCUCGGGUUGUAAAGCCCUUUUGUUGGGAAAGAAAAGCAGCAGGUUAAUACCCCGCUGUUCUGACGGUACCCAAAGAAUAAGCACCGGCUAACUUCGUG
rnacentral:rRNA from 1 species